ensembl:snRNA U6 U6 spliceosomal RNA
GUGCUCGCUUCUGCAGCACAUAUACUAGAAUUGGAACGAUACAGAGAAGAUUAACAUGGCCCCUGUGCAAGGAUGACAUGCAAAUUCUUGAAGCGUUCCAUACUUUU